rnacentral:rRNA from 1 species
UACGUAGGGAGCAAGCGUUAUCCGGAUUUAUUGGGUGUAAAGGGUGCGUAGACGGGAAGGCAAGUUAGUUGUGAAAUCCCUCGGCUUAACUGAGGAACUGCAACUAAAACUAUCCUUCUUGAGUGCUGGAGAGGAAAGUGGAAUUCCUAGUGUAGCGGUGAAAUGCGUAGAUAUUAGGAGGAACACCAGUGGCGAAGGCGACUUUCUGGACAGUAACUGACGUUGAGGCACGAAAGUGUGGGGAGCAAACAGG